UAGCCACUCACAGCUCACAAUAUCAUGUAC
rnacentral:piRNA from 1 species